UUAUGGGAUCAAUCGAUUAAUCCUCAACCGACGUUCUACAGCUCUACAGAUACCCGAAGUUGUGUGGAUCCACAUUGUUGCUUCGACAUCGAUCGAGAGGAAACGCUUCUCGAUGCCAUGGAUCGCCAUCAAGCCUGAUUAUGCCGAGUGCACAAAUCACGAUGUAACGUGCCGAUCUCUUCGGGGCCCCCCAUCGUAUUUUUCGUCGACGUAAUGCCCGAUGACAGCCGUGGCAGUUAAACGUGCAUCAUCGGCGUAUAUCGACGCGGAUGCCUCGUUGCCUCUGUAUCUAACUUCACCGCUGGACGAUAAGGCUUCUUAUUAAAUAUCCCAUAAAGAGU